AGCAGCAUGGUGUAUGGCCUCAUGCGGGGCUUUCUUGCAGCCGAAUCCCAUCGUAACCUAGUCAUCCCGAGGUCCUCGUUCGAUUCGAGGUGCUGCUA